rnacentral:tRNA from 1 species
AGGGAUAUAACUCAGCGGUAAGAGUGUCACCCUUGACGGUGGUGGAAGUCCAUCAGUUCGAGCCCUGAUUAUCCCUA